rnacentral:rRNA from 1 species
GUAGGGUGCAAGCGUUAUCCGGAAUCAUUGGGCGUAAAGAGCUCGUAGGCGGUUCAGCAAGUCGGCUGUGAAAUCCCGAGGCUUAACCUCGGAACUGCAGUCGAUACUGCUGUGACUAGAGUCCGGUAGAGGAGAAUGGAAUUCCCGGUGUAGUGGUGAAAUGCGCAGAUAUCGGGAGGAACACCAGUAGCGAAGGCGGUUCUCUGGGCCGGUACUGACGCUGAGGAGCGAAAGCGUGGGGUAGCAAACAGGAUUAGAUACCCUGGUAGUCCACGCCGUAAACGUUGGACACUAGGUGUGGCGUUCCGACCAACGGGUGCCGUGCCGAAGCUGACGCAUUAAGUGUCCCCGCCUGGGAGUACGGCCGCAAGGCUA